rfam:Moniliophthora roreri strain MCA 2952 kmer90.96550, whole genome shotgun sequence.
ACACCGUUGGUGAAGUGGUUAUCAUGCUUGCCUUCCAUUUGCUCCCGCACGUUCAGCAGCAAGCGGCUCGGGUUCGAUUCCCGAACGGUGUA